UAAUGUUCAGCAUUGUUAAACCAGGCAUGAAUGAGUGUAUUGUCCGGUGGCCUAGUGGUUAACACAUUAGACUUGUGAUCCAAAGAGCUAGGGUUCAAAUCCAGCGUAAUGGCAAAACUUUUGUAAAUUUAAUUAGUAAAUAUAUAGCCUCAUUUUCAUUAUUGAUGGUCACAUGACCUAACCCUUGCACAAAAUCUUCAUGCAAAGGCUGAUUCACUGUGCUAUCCACAUGGUCACUUGGCUGUCUGCAAAUCUCUCCGUAUGGCAACACAAAUUUUCUUAAACCUCAUCGAUGGACCGAGUCAUGUCAACGAUAAUAAGCCAAUGACUUGUCACCGACUACCGAAAAUAGUAACAUUAAUAAAUCCCUGUCGAUGCGA